UAACAAUGCUGUGUACCUGCUAAUUUCUUUGAAGUUGUUUUAAACAAAGUAACUCAUAACUAAAUACUUUAUUUAUAAUAAGUAAACAAAUAAUAAAAUCUCCUUUCAGUAUUGAUGUUCGUAAAUUACUUGCUUUUGAUGAUGUUUCAGUGUCAUUCCACUUCGAAAUUAUAAAUAACGAUUCAAUUAGGUACACAAAAAGCUCAAGAAAAUCAUUGACAGCAUAAAAACGUUCAACUCAUUUAGUCGCACAUAAUUGUUUUAAUGAUUUUUUAGUUAUACAUUUUUGACUUUCUUCGAUUUGACUUUUCAACACAUCUUUUCGCUUUGGAAGAUGAAUAAGAAAUAGCAAGGUUUAAAACAUGAACAGCACAAUGAACAAACGUCGCAAGCGGAUAACUUUGGUGAAUAAGAGAUUGAGCUCCGUUAAAUUGACCAGACAUAGAAGCACAUCCAUCGUAACACUGUCCUCUAAGUAGUAUCUGUUGUAGGCACAAACUGAAGAAUUCUUCCUUGAUAAUCAUAUUUUCAACAUCUAAAUAUCGAACACACAAAGUUACUUGUUCGCUUCCACCAAUGUCGGCCGUUUCAUCAGCAAGUAUUUUGAAACAUCUUUGGGCAUUUAUGUUUGUUACGAUUUUAUUUAAAAUAAUUUUAUUACAGGAUUCAAUUAUUUCAUUUUGAAGUGUUUCACUUGUAUAUUUUAUUGUUUCUUCAGCUUCCAAAAAUGAUUUUAAACGGUCAUCUCCUUGGGCUCUGUAUCUUAAUAUUUCUCUAAAAUUUCCUUGAUUUUCUUGGAUAAUUUGUCAUUUUCUUGAUAUAUAUUGAAGUUACAAAGAUAUCCGUUAUUGUCAAAAAAAAAAAAAAAAUAAUAAUAAUAACAUUAAAAAUGCAAAUAAUAAUUAAACCUAUAAGGUAGUUAAACCCUAAAGUUAUUUUCGAUUUGUUAAAGUCGUUAAAAUUAAUUCAAAUCUCCUGUUAUUUUCUUUUAUCAGAAUUAUUAUGUCAUUAAUUCAAUUAUUAAUUAAAUUGUUAAACUAUAUUAUAUAUUCAACUUAAUAAAUUUUUAUGUUGAUUAUAAUCGCAUGGCAUGAUGUUUUUUGUUAAUAACUAAAUGGAAAUAGCAAUUUCACAUGGGCAAAAUUUUUAAUAGUUGCAAGAGAAUAAAUCCAAACGUUGAUAUUUUAUUUCAUACAGAUUAAAUUUUAUAUGCAUAAAUAUUCUGUUAACCGAUAUCAAAUUUAUUCCACUUGAACUUUCAUAAAAAAAUCUCUAUCAUUUGUAAACUAAUGUAAUAAAUAAACAAACAAAUACAAAAGGUUUUUCUUCAAAAUAUCU